GUCGACCGCUAGCAGACAUUCUCUGCUGUGUCAACAGUUUUCAUUGUAUAGACCAGUGUCUGGCCCUCCGACUCCAAACUGAAACCAUCUCUCUGGUACCAUAUAGAACAGAAACAUUAACUCAUGCUCUGGAAUGCUCUUUAGGUUUUAUCACCCAAAAGACAUCGUAAAUCUCCUGUCAGUGUUAUCUCCCAGAGGCCCAUCCUCAGUAGAACACACACAAUAGCUAUAAGAAUACUCUAUUCUGUCAAAUAAAAUAACCAUUUGAUGUAAUAAAAGUAUUACAACAUAAUCUUGCAAUUUUCCUCUGACAUGCCUCAGGAACCCGGGAUUCGUCGGACCAGACAAUGUUUUUCCACUCCUCAAUUGUCCAGUGUUGGUGAUCACGUGCCCACUGGAGCCGCUUCUUGUUUUUAGCUGAUAAGAGUGGAACCUGGUGUUGUCAUCUGCUGCAAUAGCCCAUCCAUGAUGAGUUGUGCAUUCCCAGAUGCUGUUCUGCACACCACUGUUGUACUUCGCCGUUAUAUGCCGGUUUGUGGCCCGCCUAUUAGCUUGCACAAUUCUUGCCAUUCUCCUUUGACCUCUGUCAUCUACAAGCUGUUUUCGCCCACAGGAUUGCCGCUGACUGGAUGUUUUUGUUUGUCGCACCAUUCUCGGGUAAACCCUAGGCACUGUCGUGCGUGAAAACCCAAAGAGGCCAGAUGUUGUUGAGAUACGGCGCGCCUGGCACCGACGAUCAUACCACGCGCAGUCGCUUAGGUCAUUAAUUUUCCCCAUUCUAACGUUCAAUCAAACAGUAACUGAAUGCCUCGAUGCCUGUCUGCCUACUUUAUAUAGCAAGCCACGGUCACGUGACUCACUGUCUGUAGGAGCGAACCAUUAUUGUGUAUAAUGAUAUAAACAAUAUGGCUGUAUUUAAAAUGUGUAAAUAGUGUUAUUAACUUAAUAUAAUGUAUAUAAUAUUGUUUUAUGUGUACUGUAGCUCUGUUUACUGUAUUUAGUAAUAAUAUGCUAUUAUAAUGUUGUAUUAGGGGUUGUGUUGACUGUGACUCUUCCCUCUGAGGCCAGAACAGACAGUAAAAUGUGUCCAGUUCUCACUAGGUUGUGUUUAUAGAGGAAUAUGUCAAAUUCUAACUAGCAGAGCUGGCUCUGGCCCUCGACCACCUGCACCAUCUUGGCAUAGUUUACAGAGACCUCAAACCAGAGAUGUAUUUUGCAGGACGAAGCAAGGGGACAAGAUGAGAGGGAAAGUUCCGCUAACAAGGGCAACUACUAGGAGCUUUCAGAGCUAAAUGCCCUCCUGUUCCCUGAUUAAGAGUGGAUGACUACUCCACUACCAGUGUCAACUCUUUACUGAACUGAAGCCAUGUCUCAUGUGCCCUCUCAUCCACUGGCUCACUGAAUAUUUCCUCUCCAAGCACUUCAAAUCUUGUCCUCAUUGGAAGAGUUGAGCUCUUCUGCAACACCAUCCAUCCAUGAUAAGCUUGUCCUGCACUGGAAGAGUUGAGCUCUUCUGCAACACCAUCCAUCCAUGAUAAGCUUGUCCUGCACUGUAUCCUCUGAACAUCUCAACCCAGGUCCUGCACCGAAGUCAAGCCUCUGAACACCUUAACUCAUGCUUCAUACCCUCAUUCAAAUCACUGCUGUGAUCUCUUCUCAAAAUGGCGUAAGUAGCCCUCUCAUUCCCAUGACUAAUUAUAUUUGACUAUAAAUGUCUUUAUUAAAUGUUUAAGGUAAAAAUGUGUCUUUGAUGAUUUCUGAAAUAUUCUUUGACGUCUCUGUGCGGUCUGCACCUAUACCGUGGGUCUCUCGUCCUCCUAAAUAUUUCAAGUCUCCAGCCUCCACUGCUGCUAACUUAGGGUAGGCGUAACACUCUAGCGGCCUGCCUCAGCUAGCACACUGCUUGCUUGACUCUCUGGCACAGUGCACAUAACAUUUGGUAGUUUUUGUGCUUACUUACCCAAGAGCCCUCCAAGUUAAAACUCUCUCCCAUUAAGGUUAGGGUAAGGGCUAGGGUUAGGGGAUAGUUAGUUGAAAUGUUACAGAUAGUCUGUAGAACAUCUACAGAUGGACUAUCCAAAUAAAGUGUUACCCAUCUAUGUAACCAGCAUGUUUCCUUCUUACUUUUAGCUACACCGGUUGAUGGUUUACACCAUUCCGUUGGUCGCUCUCUCGUGGAAAGCCCUGUUCGGUGACACAGAAUAGCAGAUGCUGUACUAUCGCCACUUUCUAGGGGCGCGGUCCAAGAGAAUCAAGCAUGCUUUGCAAGAAACACUAUGCUCAUAUGCCUCGGACAGUUAACUGUCACACUCUCUGCUCCCCUAGCAGUGCAGUGUUCAUGACUCGUGUGCUCUGGCACAUUACCAACUUCUGAGAGCCUGCUUUCUGCAUCUAUCCAGACUGAAUCAAGAGACAAACUGUUAGAACCAACAACCCUAUGAGUGUUUUUGAUGAUAAAUGCACCACUAGGGAUGGAAGCGCUGGCUCACCCUGUCAAGGGUGAUGCCCUACGCUUUUUCUCUCCCCUAUGCCUGGUACCCCUCACUCUAAGCAGAGUGAUGUAACAGGCUUAUCCCUCAUCUUCGAGCCCCUCGAUGACCAGGGGUGCCCUGUUAGCAGAGAUCCCUUUUCUGCUUUACAUCCAGUCCUGGUAGCCACCGUUAUGCAGGGGUCUUCUGACCCUAGCGUACGCAGAGAUUUGCCAUCCUCACCCAGUAGCCAUGGCCCUCUGGGAAUGGCCCUUGGGAGGAUGAAUCUGAAUGCGACACUCAAGAUCAUUGACGAUCUGCCUGAAUGACUAUCACCCCGUAGAAGUCACAUCUGUAAUCAUGAAGUGUUUUAAAAGGCUGGUCAUGGCACAAAUUGACACCAUGGACCCACCGUAAUUCGCAUACCGCCCCAACAGAUUCACAGAUGACGCAAACUCAACUGCGCUUCACACUGCUACAACAGGAGUUCCCUGAUCCUGGUGUCCUGUAUACAACAGGAGUUCCCUGACCCUGGUGUCCUGUAUAGAACAGGAGUUCCCUGAUCCUGGUGUCCUGUAUACAACAGGAGUUCCCUGACCCUGGUGUCCUGUAUACAACAGGAGUUCCCUGACCCUGGUGUCCUGUAUACAACAGGAGUUCCCUGACCCUGGUGUCCUGUAUACAACAGGAGUUCUCUGAUCCUGGUGUCCUGUAUACAACAGGAGUUCCCUGAUCCUGGUGUCCUGUAUACAACAGGAGUUCCCUGAUCCUGGUGUCCUGUAUACAACAGGAGUUCCCUGACCCUGGUGUCCUGUAUACAACAGGAGUUCCCUGAUCCUGGUGUCCUGUAUACAACAGGAGUUCCCUGACCCUGGUGUCCUGUAUACAACAGGAGUUCCCUGACCCUGGUGUCCUGUAUACAACAGGAGUUCCCUGACCCUGGUGUCCUGUAUACAACAGGAGUUCCCUGACCCUGGUGUCCUGUAUACAACAGGAGUUCUCUGAUCCUGGUGUCCUGUAUACAACAGGAGUUCCCUGAUCCUGGUGUCCUGUAUACAACAGGAGUUCCCUGAUCCUGGUGUCCUGUAUACAACAGGAGUUCCCUGACCCUGGUGUCCUGUAUACAACAGGAGUUCCCUGGCCCUGGUGUCCUGUAUACAACAGGAGUUCCCUGACCCUGGUGUCCUGUAUACAACAGGAGUUCCCUGACCCUGGUGCAGAAUACUCAGGGUUUCUCUCUCUCCAUUUUGACUAAUACCAUUCAAUUCAAUAAUACAAAAAAUUAAAAAGUUGUGUCUAGUAAUAUGUUAUUGACAGGUGCCAGGUAUCUCUCCAUUUAGAGACAUCAAUAUGAAGCCUGUCUGUCAGUCUGGACUCCAUCUUGCAAGUCUCCAAGUGCUGGCUCCGGAGAUGCAUCUGUGAACACAUACACACACAGUCCCUGUUCUAUUCCAGUUAGGAUGGGUGAUAUCUGACAAACAAACAUAUACUAUGUUGAACUUUGAACAGGUCAGACUAAACUUACCUAAUUCUGGUCUCCCCAUCGACGACCAUUGGUGAGCAGGCAAGAGGUGAGACUGGAGGUAAGGUCUUUGCCAGCGCCCUAUUGAUGGGCAUGGCAGCAUAGAUAACCUUCUGGCCCCUGAUCAAAGAUACUGGUCGUUCACACACAAACACACACACAGAGCACUGAUUACAUUAUCAAUGGUGUUUAUGAUUAGCCUGGUGGAACUAACCUGAUCUAUUGAUAAAAUAAUUUAUAUGUUUAAAGAUAAUAAUUCUACCCUGAAACGUAACUAAUUAGUACUUAGUUGUUUAUGUAGCAUGUAUAAUGAAUAAUUAAAGUAUUAAACAUAAGUCCAACUAGGUUAGACUGGGAGAGAGAUAAAUGUGUGUAUGUGUGUGCCGAAGAAAAUACCGAGAACAAUUACAUUGUGUUUGACUCGACCUGGCUAGAACUCUGAGAUAGGACAGGGAGUAUUUCUCAAGGUUUCUCUAAUCUCGGGGGAAUGGAACGGACAGCGCUGGGUAGGGAUAAACAGUGGUGAGAACUCUGGGGAGAGAUACAAACCUACGGUUUGUGUGGAUGUACAGUGGGGAGAACAAGUAUUUGAUACACUGCCAAUUUUGCAGGUUUUCCUACUUACAAAGCAUGUAGAGGUCUGUAAUUUUUAUCAUAGGUACACUUCAACUGUGAGAGACGGAAUCUAAAACAAAAAUCCAGAAAAUCACAUUGUAUGAUUUUUAAGUAAUUCAUUUGCAUUUUAUUGCAUGACAUAAGUAUUUGAUUCAUCAGAAAAUCAGAACUUAAUAUUUGGUACAGAAACCUUCGUUUGCAAUUACAGAUUACAAUUAUCAUCCGUUUCCUGUAGUUCUUGACCAGGUUUGCACACACUGCAGCAGGGAUUUUGGCCCACUCCUCCAUACAGACCUUCUCCAGAUCCUUCAGGUUUUGGGGCUGUCGCUAGGCAAUACGGACUUUCA